AUCUGCUCCCACUGACUGUGAUGGGGAAGGGACCGCGGGUCUGCGUGGUGCUGCGCUCGAUGCUUCCCCUCUGCUCGAUGCUUCCCCUCUGCUCGGUGUUGGGAAUGGUGUGUGAGAGCCCCAGGAGCCAUAAUUGCCUCUUGACAGCCAGCAUCUGCCUUUCCCUCUGCCAGCCUCCACCUGGUUGCCUCCACCUACAACUGAGCUAACUCCAGCAGCCACCACUGCCACCACCACCGCCAUCCCUACUACUGAAACCCCUCCUACUGAAAUCCCUACUACUGCCAUCCCUACCACCACCACUACUACAACCACCACAGCUGCCAGCACCGUCGCAAGCACUACAACAACUGCAGAGAGGGCUGUGGCAGCCACCACAAAACAGGAGCUGGCCACCAAUGGAUCGUCCAUAUGGGACAUAAGAGCUUGGGCUAAUAGUAACUGGGCAAACAUCACCUGGAGCCACAAUUACUCUGCAGGAACUGACUUUGUGGUUAAGUAUAUCACCAGUAACAAGACAGAGAAAUCUAUCCCCGUUAAAGCUCAGACCCCCUCCUCUGUGCAGCUGGCCAAUCUGACGCCGGGGAUGGUGUACAAGCUGUGGGUGUUCCCCAUAUGGUCUAACCCCAGCGAGCAUUCGUACAUAACCUUUACCACCAGCUCAGGUGAGCGGGGCUGCGUGUCCACUGCAUGUCACUGCGUCCCCACGGGUGGCACCGGCGUGGUGGUGGGAGGGGGACAAGCACAACCCUGCCCUUAAGAGCCACCCGAGCAUCCUGAUUGCAUUGAACAAAGGGCAAAAGGAAGGGGUUGAAUCAGGGUGAGGAGCACGUGCAUGAGUUGGGGACAGCACCACAGCCACACAUGGUGCGGGCAAUGGCUCUUCAGCUCGGUGAAAGGCAAGGUAUGUUCCCCCGGCAACUUUGCAUUUAAUUGCACAAGCAAUUUUCCAGGCUUAUCACCUCAGUGAUUUUUAGAGCUUCCUAAUUAUGGGCUUCCUACACUGCCCACUGAAUGCCACAGAAGGAGCCUUACUGACUUCCACUGGCACUCAAUCAGGCUUUAUGCAUUUCUAAAGCAUCCCUGUUGACACACGAUGAGUGUCAGUAAAUCACGACGCCCGUGCUUCCCUUUGUGUCCGCUCGUGGGUUGUGCCGUAGGAAUCUGUGUGCAAUGCUGUCCAAGCAGAGGGCUCAGCUCUGCACAGCAGCUGUGUGAGCAGCACCGGAGCAGCCCACGCUGCAGUAGGUAAAGGCUGAGAUUUCAGAGAACUGAGAUUACUUUGCUGAGAUCCAGCAGUGUGAUGGAGAGCUGAAGCACAAAAGCCAUCUCUUUGCUCAGGAGCAAGAUGUUAGUUCCCAGCAAAGGAAGGCUGCAGCAGCAGCUCUCCCCACCUUACUCCAUGCACCUGCAGCCCAAGUGCUAGCAAGGCAUUGCUCCAUCAAAUAAUUCCCUGGUGUGCUAAGCAGGGACAGAGGGCAGCUGUUGGUAAUCCUGAGCGUCCAACACUACCCAAUGCUGAUAUUGCCUCAGGCACGGCAGCAUGGUACACCUCUCCAUGAGGAUGUGCAGCAUCCCCAAUUUCUGCUCCCAGACUGACUCAGAAAUUGCCCCCAGGUUGCAGUCCCCUCACCCAUACCAUGCAACACCCUUCUGCAUCACUGCUCCCCAGCUCGGACCCGUCUCUUCUCUUCUCUUGCAGCUUUUCUCACACUUUGGGCGUUAGGGUGGAGGACCACCAGCACCAAGGGGUGGGAAAUCAUUAGAACAGGAGGCCACAUCCUUGGCUGAUUGAUGCUGGCAUGGCUAUCUGCAGUAAUUUAUGGGUUUCUUCUGCCGUUACUGAGACAAUGCACAGGGGCCACCCAACCCUGUCCCCACAGCUCCAUCCCUGCCCAUUUUUCACUGCUAGAUUCUGCUGAGACGGGUGCUCAGCCCCCGCUGACAAUCACAUGCUGCAGGAAUGCUGGUGAUCAGAGAGCCCUGUUCAUUUUGCUUGUUGGUUGUAAUGUUUGCCAAAUAGCUGUUCUUCAGAUCGAAUGCAGAUAAAUAAGAGGUCCACACGCACCACGCCUUCUCUUGUGCUUAACUUGACAGCUCAAUAUCCCAAAAGAGCUCUUUCCAAUAGUAAAUGGCAUUUAAACUACAAAUAUAGCUUAAUGCAAAUUGUCUUCUAAAUUCAAGAAGCAAUGUAAAACGCUGAAGGGGGAUCUGUGCAGGACUGCAGCUAGCUGGGCUUCACACACCCAAUUGCUUCACAAACGUGACAUAAAUUUUGCUGGCCUGCUGUCAGAAUACAGUCAGCUUUGCUACUGGCGUAUAAACCACGACUGUUGGGUAACAUGUUUUCUGCCA